rnacentral:lncRNA from 1 species
GUUUAUAGGAUGUACAAGUACCAGGCCACGUUCAAUUGUAUUUUUAGUAUAUGUAUUUUUAUCUAUCUGAUGAGUUAAGCCUUUUUCAACUGAUUUUGAUAGUUCGUUCUUAUAUUGUACUGUUAUACCACUGUGUCAGGUUAGGGAGGGUUGGGAUCCCGCUUACAUGUUUAACCCCGUCACAUUAUGUAUGGAUAUACCUGUCCCAUGGCAGAAGCCUGUGAUUCAGUGGUUGUCGUUUGUUGAUGUGUUUCAAUAUUUGUUUUUCUUUCAUUUUUUUGUACAUAAAUUAGGCCGUUAGUUUUCUCUUUUGAAUUGUUUUAUAUUGUCAUUUCGGGGCCUUUUAAAGCUGACUAUGCGCAAUGGGAUUUGCUCAUUGUUGAAGGCCGUACGGUGACCUAUAGUUGUUAAUUCUUGUGUCAUUUGGUCUCUGAUGGAGAGUUGUCAUUUUGGCAAUCAAACCUUUUCUUCUGUUUUAUAUUUUCAAAUUGG